rnacentral:rRNA from 4 species
UGGGGAAUAUUGCACAAUGGAGGGAACUCUGAUGCAGCGACGCCGCGUGAACGAAGAAGGCUUUCGAGUCGUAAAGUUCUUUUAUAUGGGAAGAUAAUGACGGUACCAUAAGAAAAAGCCCCGGCUAACUACGUGCCAGCAGCCGCGGUAAUACGUAGGGGGCUAGCGUUGUCCGGAAUCACUGGGCGUAAAGGGUUCGCAGGCGGAAAUGCAAGUCAGAUGUAAAAGGCAGUAGCUUAACUACUGUAAGCAUUUGAAACUGCAUAUCUUGAGAAGAGUAGAGGUAAGUGGAAUUUUUAGUGUAGCGGUGAAAUGCGUAGAUAUUAAAAAGAAUACCGGUGGCGAAGGCGACUUACUGGGCUCAUUCUGACGCUGAGGAACGAAAGCGUGGGUAGCAAACAGG